UACGGGGGGGGCAAGCGUUGUUCGGAAUUACUGGGCGUAAAGGGCUCGUAGGCGGCCAACUAAGUCGGACGUGAAAUCCCCAGGCUCAACCUGGGAACUGCGUCCGAUACUGGAUGGCUUGAAUCCGGGAGAGGGAUGUGGAAUUCCAGGUGUAGCGGUGAAAUGCGUAGAUAUCUGGAGGAACACCGGUGGCGAAGGCGGCAUCCUGGACCGGUAUUGACGCUGAUGCGCGAAAGCCAGGGGAGCAAACGGG
rnacentral:rRNA from 1 species